rnacentral:rRNA from 1 species
GAACGAAGGCUUCGGCCUUAGUGGCGCACGGGUGCGUAACGCGUGGGAAUCUGCCCCUUGGUUCGGAAUAACCGUUGGAAACGACGGCUAAUACCGGAUGACGACGUAAGUCCAAAGAUUUAUCGCCGAGGGAUGAGCCCGCGUAGGAUUAGCUAGUUGGUGUGGCAAAGGCGCACCAAGGCGACGAUCCUUAGCUGGUCUGAGAGGAUGAUCAGCCACACUGGGACUGAGACACGGCCCAGACUCCUACGGGAGGCAGCAGUGGGGAAUAUUGGACAAUGGGCGCAAGCCUGAUCCAGCAAUGCCGCGUGAGUGAUGAA